GGAAGCGCGACUCGAGAAGACCGUGGCCGCUGACGUCGGGCGGCCCUGCCGGCUGCAGCGGGGACGCUGACCCCAGAAAAAACCUGGGAGCUGCUUUUAAACCGUAUUACCCCUGGAGCCUGCUGAGAAGGAGUCUACAGCAGGCAGAAGAGAGGAUCUUUUCAAGAGGCAUUCCCAACUGUGAACACUGUGUAUGAUCAAGCUGACAUUGUUCAAUCUGUUAAUAAACUUCAUUUACAGAAAGUAA